rnacentral:rRNA from 1 species
GACGAACGCUGGCGGCGUGCCUAAUACAUGCAAGUCGAGCGCAGGAAGCUGACGGAACUCUUCGGAGAGAAGGCAGUGGAAUGAGCGGCGGACGGGUGAGUAACACGUAAGGAACCUGCCUCAAGGAUUGGGAUAACUCCGAGAAAUCGGAGCUAAUACCGGAUAGUUCAACGGACCGCAUGGUCCGCUGAUGGAAGGCGCUUCGGCGUCACCUUGAGAUGGCCUUGCGGUGCAUUAGCUAGUUGGGGGGGUAACGGCCCACCAAGGCGACGAUGCAUAGCCGACCUGAGAGGGUGAUCGGCCACACUGGGACUGAGACACGGCCCAGACUCCUACGGGAGGCAGCAGUAGGGAAUCUCCCACAAUGGACGAAAGUCUGAUGGAGCAACGCCGCGUGAGUGAUGAAGGUUUUCGGAUCGUAAAACUCUGUUGUAAGGGAAGAACACGUACGAGAGGGAAUACUCGUACCUUGACGGUACCUUACGAGAAAGCCACGGCUAACUACGUGCCAGCAGCCGCAGUAA